UACGGAGGGUGCAAGCGUUAUCCGGAUUCACUGGGUUUAAAGGGUGCGUAGGUGGGAAUGUAAGUCAGUGGUGAAACCUCCGUGCUUAACAUGGAACUGCCAUUGAUACUAUGUUUCUUGAAUUUUCUGGAGGUAAGCGGAAUAUGCCAUGUAGCGGUGAAAUGCUUAGAUAUGACAUAGAACACCAAUUGCGAAGGCAGCUUGCUACAGGGAUAUUGACACUGAGGCACGAAAGCGUGGGGGAUCAAACAGG
rnacentral:rRNA from 1 species